GUCUACGGCCAUACCACCCUGAACACACUUGAUCCCAUCUGAUUUCUGAAGCUAAGCAGGGUUGGUCCUGUUAGUACUUCAAUGGGAGACCACCUAGGAAGAUCAGUUGCUGUAGGCG
rnacentral:rRNA from 1 species